CAAAAAUCAACCACAAUUUCAAACAUCUCAUUGGAAUUUUUUCCAAAAAGCAGCAGCAAAAGCUUUAGAUAUAGUAGAAAGCGCGUUAGUCUCACGCGAACUACAAAACCCACUUCCCAAAACAGCUGACCCACGUGUACAAAUCGCCGGAAACUUUGCUCCGGUACCGGAGCAAUCAGUCCGGCAUAACCUUCCCGUUACAGGGACGAUCCCUGAUUGCAUUAAUGGGGUUUAUGUCAG
rnacentral:misc_RNA from 1 species